GAUGAACGCUGGCGGCGUGCCUAAUACAUGCAAGUCGAGCGAACGGACGAGAAGCUUGCUUCUCUGAUGUUAGCGGCGGACGGGUGAGUAACACGUGGAUAACCUACCUAUAAGACUGGGAUAACUUCGGGAAACCGGAGCUAAUACCGGAUAAUAUUUUGAACCGCAUGGUUCAAAAGUGAAAGACGGUCUUGCUGUCACUUAUAGAUGGAUCCGCGCUGCAUUAGCUAGUUGGUAAGGUAACGGCUUACCAAGGCAACGAUGCAUAGCCGACCUGAGAGGGUGAUCGGCCACACGGGAACUGAGACACGGUCCAGACUCCUACGGGAGGCAGCAGUAGGGAAUCUUCCGCAAUGGGCGAAAGCCUGACGGAGCAACGCCGCGUGAGUGAUGAAGGUCUUCGGAUCGUAAAACGCUGUUAUUAGGGAAGAACAUAUGUGUAAGUAACUGUGCACAUCUUGACGGUACCUAAUCAGAAAGCCACGGCUAACUACGUG
rnacentral:rRNA from 1 species